UUUCCGUAGGUGAACCUGCGGAAGGAUCAUUCAUAAUAAGUGUUUUAUGGCACUUUUUUAAAUCCAUAUCCACCUUGUGUGCAAUGUCAGGGUGAUUUUUCUCUCGAGAGGAUCAACCCCAAACAUCAACUAUAUCUCAACUCUUUGUCUGAAAAAUAUUAUGAAUAAAACAAUUCAAAAUACAACUUUCAACAACGGAUCUCUUGGCUCUC
rnacentral:misc_RNA from 1 species